rnacentral:rRNA from 1 species
GACAGAGGUGCCGAGCGUUAGGCGGAAUCACUGGGCUUAAAGCGUGUGUAGGCGGGCGGGCAAGUACCUUGUGAAAUCCCACGGCUCAACCGUGGAACGGCUGGGUAUACUGCCUGUCUUGAGCCAACUAGGGGCGAGCGGAACAGACGGUGGAGCGGUGAAAUGCGUAGAUAUCGUCUGGAACGCCGAAGGUGAAAACAGCUCGCUGGGGUUGUGCUGACGCGUGAGACACGAAAGCCAGGGGAGCGAACGGG